UCCUCUGCUCCUCCCCCUCUGGUCUAAGAGCAGGCUCAAACACCCAGUCCAGGCUGUUGGUGGCGUGUUGGAACAUGCCUUGACUUGUUGUAGUGCCUAAGUAAGGCAGAGAGACAGACAGCCACAGAGAGAGAGGGAGAGAGAGAAGAUGCUUGUGGUCAACAGUUUGCCAGUGUGAAGUGACCCACACAAAGAGAGAUCCCUGCUGCACCAUGGACAGACUCCUGUUGAUGUCAACACCAGAGUGCACUCCCUGGAGACGAGCGUGGAUGGAGGAGCUCUACUGCUGCCUCGCUGCUUGAGCUUUUGGCUGUUGGCAUGGGACCACGCCACCCCCGGGGGCUUUUAGUGUGAGGCCAUUGCCUUCCAACCACCACGGCCACCAGGAAGCUGGGCAUGAAAAGUGUGAGCGUCCGUAGUGCCAGACUCACAGGUGGAAGUGUACGGCAAAUACCAGCCAGGAUCCUGCUCAGGAGGAGGCAGGCAGAGGGGCAGGCAGAGGGGCAGGCAGAGGGACAGGCAGAGGGACAGGCGGUUGGACGCGGCUGCUGUGGGUGUUUCUCUGGCAGUGUCUUAGCUGGUUGUUGUGAGGAGUGAGAACGAAGCAAUCAGCAAGUAUACUGCCGCAGAAAUUCUUCGCAAUAGAGGCCCUGGGAUCAGAGCCAUCACAACGGGGAGGACAAAAUGCGUAUCAGCAUUGUGGCAAAAAUGGAUCCUGCUGCUACUGUAAGUUUUUAACAUGUUUCCGGACAAUGAAAUCAACAACGGCUGAGGACCUGAUAAAGAAUUAACUGAAGAUAGAUCACCUGAGUGCAUGGCCUUUUUGUUAACAGCCUCUACAAUAUUUACGAUUGGAUCAAACCAUCAAACUGCUUCACAAUGUGUUGUACUUUUGUGGUCCUCUGCUGCCAUCUUGUGAAUGAAAGCAACCUCCCAGCAUGCUUUUGUUCAUUUAACACUGCAGCUGCAAUUUGUUAAAAAAAAAUAGAACAAUCUAAAAAAAUCCCUUUCAUUAAGAAAAUAUAGCUUGGCUUACCAUGACUUCAGAUUCUUUUUUUUUUUUUUUUUUUCAGUUGUAUGUUGCUUUUGUCACCAAAUUUAAUUUUGCUUCAUUAAUAAGUAAUAAUAAGUACUUUUUUCUAUGUUUGAUUCCUAAUUUAUCAGUUGCAGCGUGAUGUCUUAAGUUAUAACUGUAAAAAAGGGAUUAAUAAAAGUUACAUAAAGACUGA